GCAUGUGCACGUCCAACCUUUUCUAUUACACACCCGUGCACCUUUUGUAGGUCCUCGAAAGAGGAUCUAUGUAUUUCAUCAUCACACCUAUCGUAUGUCUAGAAUGUCAUCGUCGACCACUGGGCGGCGAAAUAAAUAAUACAACUUUCAGCAACGGAUCUCUUGGCUCUCGCAUCGAUGAAGAACGCAGCGAAUUGCGAUAAGUAAUGUGAAUUGCAGAUUUUCAGUGAAUCAUCGAAUCUUUGAACGCACCUUGCGCUCCUUGGUAUUCCGAGGAGCAUGCCUGUUUGAGUGUCAUUAAAUUCUCAACCAUGACUUUGUUGACAUGGCUUGGAGUUGGGGGUUGCUGGCUUGUUUGUCAGCUCUCCUGAAAUACAUUAGCGGUGGACAAGCAAGGCCUUCCGACGUGAUAAUGAUCGUCGUGGGGCGGAGCAUCAACGUCUGUCUGCUUCUAAAUCCCAGAUGCCUUAGCUAGACAUCAUUUCGAACGCUUGACCUCAAAUCAGGUAGGACUACCCGCUGAACUUAAGCAUA
rnacentral:misc_RNA from 1 species